rnacentral:rRNA from 1 species
GAUGAACGCUGGCGGCGUGCCUAAUACAUGCAAGUCGAGCGAACAGACGAGGAGCUUGCUCCUCUGACGUUAGCGGCGGACGGGUGAGUAACACGUGGAUAACCUACCUAUAAGACUGGGAUAACUUCGGGAAACCGGAGCUAAUACCGGAUAAUAUAUUGAACCGCAUGGUUCAAUAGUGAAAGACGGUUUUGCUGUCACUUAUAGAUGGAUCCGCGCCGCAUUAGCUAGUUGGUAAGGUAACGGCUUACCAAGGCAACGAUGCGUAGCCGACCUGAGAGGGUGAUCGGCCACACUGGAACUGAGACACGGUCCAGACGCCUACGGGAGGCAGCAGUAGGGAAUCGUCCGCAAUGGGCGAAAGCCUGACGGAGCAACGCCGCGUGAGUGAUGAAGGUCUUCGGAGCGUAAAACUCUGUUAUUAGGGAAGAACAAAUGUGUAAGUAACUAUGCACGUCUUGACGGUACCUAAUCAGAAAGCCACGGCUAACUACGUG